GGAUUAGGGUUAAGUGACCUUUGGGAUUCUUCUCUUCUCCCUCUCACGAUCGUGAAGCAGCAACAGCGCCGCGGAAAGCCUUUCUCCUCCAACGGAACCGACAUCACCACACAGCCACCGUGAAUUAUCACCUCUCAUCUCGACUCUCUUCUAUCUCUGGUCUCCACGCGUUCUCAAUCUCUCUCUCUCUUCUCAAAUCCCAUGUUCUCUCUCGGUUCUCUCAGAUCAAUCGAAAUCACGCCUUUACUGAUCAGAGAAGCUUUGACGGCUUCUUCCACGGCGGCGAGACAGAAGAUAAAAAACAAAGGUCACCACUCAGUUGUUGAUACGUGGAUGGAGUUGAUGCGGGUUGAAGGUUCCUUCUGAGUUUGUGAAGACUUGAAGGAUCGAUCGAAGAAGAUGAAGAGGGUAUGCCGUUUUCUUUUUCUUCUGCAAAUUGAUGAAUGGUGACUAAAGGUUAAAGAAAAACGGUUAUGGCGAAAGGUUGAAUGAAGAUUGGAUCGAGAGAGAUGGGGUAAAGGGAAGGAUUUCUGUUAGAGGUUGUUAUGAGGUGAAUUUGAGAGAAGGUGUGAAGUAUGAAGAAAAGUCAAGGUUGAAGAUGAGAGAGAGCAGAAGAAUCGAUGGAGGGAGAAUGAUUCGGUUACAGGUGAGUGUGUAUGAAGAUUUUUGUAUGUUUGAGAAAAGUUUUUGCAGAGAGUAUCAUCUGUUUUUCUUCUCUGCAGAGAUUAUGAAGUAUAUGGUGUUUGAAUGUGGUUUGGAUUUAUGUUAGAGGACUUUCCUUGUCAAAGACUAACAAGCCUAGCUGAGUGGUUCUCAUGCUAGGCUUUGUCAGGACGUGGUUCAGCUUGAGCGGCUAUGUGAAGUGGCUAAACUUCAUCAGUUGAGUCCAGGUAUUUGAUAUAUUACUGGCGCCAUUUAUGAGAACUGUGCUGAACACAUACAAGUCAAAAUUUACCCAGGUAUACUUUUGUUAUUUUUUGUAGUGUAUCUAACUUGCCUGUAUUAUGUUCCUUGUUGGUACCAUAAGUUGCUAUCUUUGUGGAGCAAUGGAUUUUAGAUUAUGAAUGAGUAAUCUCUGAAUGCUUUUGUAUGGGGUUGGUAUGUUUUUUUUUUGUAUUGAAAUAUAUUUGUUAUUUAAGUUGUAUUUUGGAUUUCGAGUCUUGAUGUCUUUUUUUCAUGUCAUUAAUCUGCGUAGUCUUGGCAUUAUGUGCUUAAAUUCAACUCAGCUGCCUGCUGUACUUGUCUCACAGUUCGUGUAUACAAGUAUUUAUGUGUAUAUCUAUAUAUAGAUGUUUUAUAUAUGUGUGCAUUUCAGAUUCUUUAUGGGAUAUCUGCCUUUUAGUUGUUGAAGAGAGAGACAGAAUGAUAACAUUUUAAAGAGAUUCUUUAUGGUAUAUCUAUUUACUGUUUUGAUUUGAACCUGUGGUUUUGAUUGGUUUUGUGGAGAUGAAUUGGGCAUUAAUCAUAAGCUAUUGUAAAGAGAUUGGUUGAGCUGUGUUUCUUUUUACAGGUAGCUAACCAAGGUAGGGUAGAUGAUCCAAAUAUUGAUUUUUAAUGUGCAUAUCAGUUUCAUCUCCUUUCAUAUAGUAACUCAGUAUUAUUUUUUGUGUGUGUUCAAGUGUAGACACCAACCAUGAAGUGUAGACAUUAAUGAUGAAGAAUUGAGUCUUGAGGAAUAGAAGACAAUCAAAGAAAUUGCUCCAAUAAGGUAGAUAUAGAUUGUUUUAUGGCCUAAAUGUUAUAUAGAAACCAUGAACACAUUUUUCAGAUAUGAUUGUUAUGGUAUGAGAUUGUUAUAUCUGAACAUUUACAUCUGUAAUGCAUUGGUACAAUAUAUUUACUAGCUCUAAUGAAUGAACUGAUUGUAUUGAUGACUCAAAUACUUAGAUCACAUAAGAGUUUAUCACAAAAGAGUAAUGUGUGCCCAUGAACAGAUUAUGACCUUAGAA